rnacentral:rRNA from 1 species
AGAGUUUGAUCAUGGCUCAGGAUGAACGCUAGCUACAGGCUUAACACAUGCAAGUCGAGGGGCAGCAUGGAACUUAGCUUGCUAAGUUCGAUGGCGACCGGCGCACGGGUGAGUAACACGUAUCCAACCUACCGUUUACUACGGGAUAGCCUUCUGAAAAGGAGAUUAAUACCGUAUGGUAUUCUAAAGUUUCAUGACAUUAGAAUUAAGGUUUACCGGUAAUCGAUGGGGAUGCGUUCCAUUAGAUAGUUGGCGGGGUAACGGCCCACCAAGUCUACGAUGGAUAGGGGUUCUGAGAGGAAGGUCCCCCACAUUGGAACUGAGACACGGUCCAAACUCCUACGGGAGGCAGCAGUGAGGAAUAUUGGUCAAUGGACGAGAGUCUGAACCAGCCCAAGUAGCGUGAAGGAUGACUGCCCUAUGGGUUGUAAACUUCUUUUAUAAGGGAAUAAAGUGAGGGACGUGUCCCUUUUUGUAUGUACCUUAUGAAUAAGGAUCGGCUAACUCCGUGCCAGCCGCCGC